GCCCGGAUGGCGGAAUUGGUAGACGCGUCGGUCUCAAACACCGAUGCCGCAAGGCGUGCCGGUUCGAUCCCGGCUCCGGGUACAA
rnacentral:tRNA from 1 species